CUACGGGAGGCAGCAGUUAGGAAUCUUGCGCAAUGGACGAAAGUCUGACGCAGCGACGCCGCGUGCGGGAUGACGGCCCUCGGGUUGUAAACCGCUUUCAGCAGGGACGAAAUUGACGGUACCUGCAGAAGAAGCCCCGGCCAACUACGUGCCAGCAGCCGCGGUAAUACGUAGGGGGCAAGCGUUGUCCGGAUUUAUUGGGCGUAAAGAGCUCGUAGGUGGUUCGGUAAGUCGGAUGUGAAAUCUCCAGGCUCAACCUGGAGGGGUCAUUCGAUACUGCCGUGACUAGAGUUCGGUAGGGGAGUGUGGAAUUCCUGGUGGAGCGGUGAAAUGCGCAGAUAUCAGGAGGAACACCCGUAGCGAAGGCGGCACUCUGGGCCGAUACUGACACUGAGGAGCGAAAGCGUGGGGAGCGAACAGGAUUAGAUACCCGCGUAGUCCA
rnacentral:rRNA from 1 species